CACGUAGGGGGCAAGCGUUGUCCGGAAUUAUUGGGCGUAAAGAGCUCGUAGGCGGUCUGUCGCGUCGGAUGUGAAAACCCAGGGCUCAACCCUGGGCCUGCAUUCGAUACGGGCAGACUAGAGUUCGGUAGGGGAGACUGGAAUUCCUGGUGUAGCGGUGAAAUGCGCAGAUAUCAGGAGGAACACCGGUGGCGAAGGCGGGUCUCUGGGCCGAAACUGACGCUGAGGAGCGAAAGCGUGGGGAGCAAACAGGA
rnacentral:rRNA from 1 species